AGAGUUUGAUCCUGGCUCAGAACGAACGUUGGCGGCGUGGAUUAGGCAUGCAAGUCGAACGAGAACCGUUGGGCAACUGACGGGGAAAGUGGCGAAAGGGGCAGUAAUGCAUGGGUAACCUACCCUGGGGACCGGGACAUACACGUAAUAGUGGUAAAUACCGGGCGAUCUGGCGAAACCGCAUGGCUUUGCCAGGAAAUGUUUUUCGCCUCGGGAGGGGCUCAUGUGAUAUUAGCUAGUUGGUGAGGUAAUGGCUCACCAAGGCUCCGAUCCUUAGCUGUUCUGAGAGGAAGAUCAGCCACACUGGGACUGAGACACGGCCCAGACUCCUACGGGAGGCAGCAGUUGGGAAUCUUGGACAAUGGGGGAAACCCUGAUCCAGCCAUGCCGCGUGAGUGAUGAAGGCCUUCGGGUUGUAAAACUCUUUCGACGGGGAC
rnacentral:rRNA from 1 species